GACGAACGCUGGCGGCGUGCCUAAUACAUGCAAGUCGAGCGGACGGAUGGGAGCUUGCUCCCAGACCGUCAGCGGCGGACGGGUGAGUAACACGUGGGCAACCUGCCUGUAAGACUGGGAUAACUCCGGGAAACCGGGGCUAAUACCGGAUAACUCUUUCCCUCACAUGAGGGAAAGCUGAAAGAUGGCAUCUCGCUAUCACUUACAGAUGGGCCCGCGGCGCAUGAGCUAGUUGGUGAGGUAACGGCUCACCAAGGCGACGAUGCGUAGCCGACCUGAGAGGGUGAUCGGGCACACUGGGACUGAGACACGGCCCAGACUCCUACGGGAGGCAGCAGUAAGGAAUCUUCCGCAAUGGACGAAAGUCUGACGGAGCAACGCCGCGUGAGUGAUGAAGGUUUUCGGAUCGUAAAACUCUGUUGUCAGGGAAGAACAAGUACCGGAGUAACUGCCGGUACCUUGACGGUACCUGACCAGAAAGCCACGGCUAACUACGUG
rnacentral:rRNA from 1 species